rnacentral:rRNA from 1 species
GUGGGGAAUAUUGGACAAUGGGCGAAAGCCUGAUCCAGCCAUGCCGCGUGUGUGAAGAAGGUCUUCGGAUUGUAAAGCACUUUAAGUUGGGAGGAAGGGCAGUAAGUUAAUACCUUGCUGUUUUGACGUUACCGACAGAAUAAGCACCGGCUAACUUCGUGCCAGCAGCCGCGGUAAUACGAAGGGUGCAAGCGUUAAUCGGAAUUACUGGGCGUAAAGCGCGCGUAGGUGGUUUUGUAAGUUGGAGGUGAAAUCCCCGGGCUCAACCUGGGAACUGCCUCCAAAACUGCAUGACUAGAGUACGGUAGAGGGUAGUGGAAUUUCCUGUGUAGCGGUGAAAUGCGUAGAUAUAGGAAGGAACACCAGUGGCGAAGGCGACUUCCUGGACUGAUACUGACACUGAGGUGCGAAAGCGUGGGGAGCAAACAGGAUUAGAUACCCCGGUAGUCC